CUCAGGAUGUGAUUCAGUGGUAGAGUGUUUACCUAGCAUGUACAAAGUCCUGAGUUCAAACCCCAGUACUGAGG
rnacentral:tRNA from 1 species